CCGGCCUGGCUCGCCCGGUAAAGCGCGUCGAUGAUGCGGCCGUCGACCAGCGAGUUGAGCUUGGCCCAGAUCGUCGCCGGGCGGCCGGCCC
rnacentral:tRNA from 1 species